CGCCUCUUGUCCUAUUAAAAUAAGAGGUCCCGCCUGCCCUGUGACUAUAUGUUUAACGGCCGCGGUAUUUUGACCGUGCGAAGGUAGCGCAAUCACUUGUCUUUUAAAUAAAGACCUGUAUGAAUGGCAUGACGAGGGCUUGACUGUCUCCUUAUCCAAGUCAAUGAAAUUGAUCUUCCCGUGCAGAAGCGGGUAUAGCAACAUAAGACGAGAAGACCCUAUGGAGCUUUAGAUAAAGGGUAAUUUACGUAAGAGACUUAGUUAAAAGAGUAAACCGAGUAAGCUUUACCUAAAUAUCUUUGGUUGGGGCGACCACGGGGUAAAACACAACCCCCGCGAGGAAUGGGUUAAAACCUUAAAACCACGAACACCAGUUCUAAGUAUCAAAACAUUUGACCUUAAGAUCCGGUAUAACCGAUCAACGAACAGAGUUACCCUAGGGAUAACAGCGCAAUCCUCUUUCAGAGUCCCUAUCGACAAGAGGGUUUACGACCUCGAUGUUGGAUCAGGACAUCCCAAUGGUGCAGCCGCUAUUAAAGGUUCGUUUGUUCAACGAUUAAAGUCCU
rnacentral:rRNA from 1 species